rnacentral:rRNA from 1 species
UACAGAGGUCUCAAGCGUUGUUCGGAUUCAUUGGGCGUAAAGGGUGCGUAGGCGGCGCGGUAAGUCGGGUGUGAAAUCUCGGGGCUUAACUCCGAAACUGCAUUCGAUACUGCCGUGCUUGAGUUCGGGAGAGGUGAGUGGAACUGCGAGUGUAGAGGUGAAAUUCGUAGAUAUUCGCAAGAACACCAGUGGCGAAGGCGGCUCACUGGCCCGAUACUGACGCUGAGGCACGAAAGCGUGGGGAGCAAACAGG